AUUGAACGCUGGCGGCAUGCCUUACACAUGCAAGUCGAACGGCAGCACGGGUGCUUGCACCUGGUGGCGAGUGGCGAACGGGUGAGUAAUACAUCGGAACAUGUCCUGUAGUGGGGGAUAGCCCGGCGAAAGCCGGAUUAAUACCGCAUACGAUCUACGGAUGAAAGCGGGGGACCUUCGGGCCUCGCGCUAUAGGGUUGGCCGAUGGCUGAUUAGCUAGUUGGUGGGGUAAAGGCCUACCAAGGCGACGAUCAGUAGCUGGUCUGAGAGGACGACCAGCCACACUGGGACUGAGACACGGCCCAGACUCCUACGGGAGGCAGCAGUGGGGAAGUUUGGACAAUGGGCGAAAGCCUGAUCCAGCAAUGCCGCGUGUGUGAAGAAGGCCUUCGGGUUGUAAAGCACUUUUGUCCGGAAAGAAAUCCUUGGCCCUAAUACGGUCGGGGGAUGACGGUACCGGAAGAAUAAGCACCGGCUAACUACGUG
rnacentral:rRNA from 1 species